UACGUAGGGGGCAAGCGUUGUCCGGAAUUAUUGGGCGUAAAGAGCGUGUAGGCGGUCCGGUAAGUCAGCUGUGAAAGUCAAGGGCUCAACCCUUGAAUGCCGGUUGAUACUGUCAAGCUCGAGUCCGGAAGAGGCGAGUGGAAUUCCUGGUGUAGCGGGUGAAAUGCGCAGAUAUCAGGAAGAACACCAAUGGCGAAGGCAGCUCUCUGGGGACGGUACUGACGCUGAGGCACGAAAGCGUGGGGAGCAAACAGG
rnacentral:rRNA from 1 species